rnacentral:tRNA from 3 species
CCGCCCAUAGCUCAGUCCGGUAGAGCACCUGCCUUUUAAGCAGAGGGUCGUAGGUUCGAAUCCUACUGGGCGGACCC